rnacentral:rRNA from 1 species
GACGAACGCUGGCGGCGUGCUUAACACAUGCAAGUCGAACGAAGAGCGAUGGAAGCUUGCUUCUAUCAAUCUUAGUGGCGGACGGGUGAGUAACGCGUAAUCAACCUGCCCUUCAGAGGGGGACAACAGUUGGAAACGACUGCUAAUACCGCAUACGAUCUAAUCUCGGCAUCGAGGAUAGAUGAAAGGUGGCCUCUACAUGUAAGCUAUCACUGAAGGAGGGGAUUGCGUCUGAUUAGCCAGUUGGAGGGGUAACGGCCCACCAAGGCGAUGAUCAGUAGCCGGUCUGAGAGGAUGAACGGCCACAUUGGGACUGAGACACGGCCCAGACUCCUACGGGAGGCAGCAGUGGGGAAUCUUCCGCAAUGGACGAAAGUCUGACGGAGCAACGCCGCGUGAGUGAUGACGGCCUUCGGGUUGUAAAGCUCUGUUAAUCGGGACGAAAGGCCUUCUUGCGAAUAGUGAGAAGGAUUGACGGUACCGGAAUAGAAAGCCACGGCUAACUACGUG